rnacentral:snRNA from 1 species
GUGUUCGCUUCGGCAGCACGUAUACUAAAAUUGAAACGAUACAGAGAAGAUUAGCACGGCCCCUGCGCAAGGAUGACACGCAAAUUCGUGAAGCGUUCUAUAUUUUG